rnacentral:rRNA from 1 species
GAUGAACGCUGGCGGCGUGCCUAAUACAUGCAAGUCGAGCGAACAGACGAGGAGCUUGCUCCUCUGACGUUAGCGGCGGACGGGUGAGUAACACGUGGAUAACCUACCUAUAAGACUGGGAUAACUUCGGGAAACCGGAGCUAAUACCGGAUAAUAUAUUGAACCGCAUGGUUCAAUAGUGAAAGACGGUUUUGCUGUCACUUAUAGAUGGAUCCGCGCCGCAUUAGCUAGUUGGUAAGGUAACGGCUUACCAAGGCAACGAUGCGUAGCCGACCUGAGAGGGUGAUCGGCCACACUGGAACUGAGCCACGGUCCAGACUCCUACGGGAGGCAGCAGUAGGGAAUCUUCCGCAAUGGGCGAAAGCCUGACGGAGCAACGCCGCGUGAUUGAUGAAGGUCUUCGGAUCGUAAACCUCUGUUAUUAGGGAAGAACAAAUGUGUAAGUAACUAUGCACGUCUUGACGGUACCUAAUCAGAAAGCCACGGCUAACUACGUG